AGCAAAAUCACUGAGACAACUCAACGGGGAGAGUGUCUGCAACAAAUACCACUGGGAUCAUGGGAAGAACGUAUGGACAAACGAGGAAAUGAAUAAAUUUGGGUCCUUGAAAAGUUUCGAAGACGAUUUUCUCACUAGGUGGCGCUUGUGUGCCUAGAGGUCUCAGCCUGAGUAGCCUGGCCAUCUGCAGAUCACCAAGCCUUAAGUGGUUACCAUGGAGACCCCCAGUAUCAUAGAGAAAUGGACUUCAGGAUUUUCUUCUCGAUAAAGAAUGAUUCUUCUAACUAUGUGUCUGCUCUGUGUCGUAAUGCAGCCUUGUAAGUAAAGAGAAAAUGUUCUUUUUCUCUUAUUUAUCUGCAAGAUGAAUUAUGUAAAAUUCAGGUCCAGGCGAGGAGAAAACUGUCAACUGUGUCUCUGAACUGUAGGACAAAGUCUGAGAACACUGGAUUUUUAUACAAGGAAGGUGCCUGUCACUUGUGAAUAAUUUGGAAGAUGUCUUCACCUUUCCUUUGAAGAUCCCGAAGUCCACUCCCUAAUAAAAUGCUUUAAACAUCUUCUGGUGGUAUUACCUUUCUGGGUGUAGAAAUGGACUCUGUGUUAUAAAGAGUCCAAAGUGAUUCAUCCAUUCGGACUCUUCCCGCCCCAUGUAGUGAGUGCCAGAUAACCCAGGUAUUUCCCUCUGGAUACUCUGGAUACCCAGUCAACAAGUCGAGAAUUCCAAGGCAAUAAGAAGGAAGAGAGUGCAACCAAGAUAGAGGAGAUAGAUACUGCUAAUUUUUAUUAGCUAUGUCUUAUAUCAAAACAUGUCUUGAUUCACCUGAUGUUACCCCUAUGUGUACUUGGUUAGAUGGCUAGACAAAAAUCGGUGUUCAAGCUUGAUGGGGAAGUAAACUUCAGUCUCUUGUGGUCCUCACAAAAACCACUCCAGUCAAGCCAGGUGCCUUUGCACAUGGCAGACCUUUGUUUCUUGUCAUCUGUGUGAAAGGGUACCUCAUAUUUCCCACGUUCCUCAUUCAGAUGAUGUCUUUCAACCAAACACAAUUCGUGAUUUUUAAAUCUGCGAAUCACUUUAAGUUGGGGAACAAAAUUCACGUGGGUAUGGCUUCAUCUACUUGAAAUUAUUUCGAUCUCUGAAAAUCAAAAUCUGUUGGUCUCUUGUACAAACUGUGGUCUCAGGUCUCAUUUACUGAAAUGUUCCCUUACUAGUUAAGACUCUCUGGGAAAGAUGGGAUAAGCAAGUUGGACGGCAUCCAUUCAUUCUUUGGGUAAAGCAGGUCUGGUCGCAACACCAGUCCCAUGGAGAAGCAUCCAGUAGGCACCCAGGAUCAUGGGGAAUAUACAGCAAAGGGUUUGUAUGUCCGGCUUCCACAGAGCACGAGAAAGUACACAGCCCAGUUUCCUGUUCUCAGAAGUUCUUAGAAUGAAAGUGGGAGAAGAAAGGAGGCUUGAACACAACAUCUUCCAUCACCUAAUGUUUUCUGUUUCCUUUUUCUUGAUUCUUCCCCAGAAAGUGGGGGGAGGCAAAAACGAUGUAUUCCAGACUCCAACGGCUCCCAUCAUCAUGGUGCAUACCGUGGAGAGCUCGUUCUCAAGGCUCCUUGGGCGUGAGGAUGCAUGCCAGCUCCUGCAGUGUCCUGCAUGGUGCAGGGACAUUAGUGAAAUAUGAGAAGGCCCUGAGAAGAAAGGAACACCUACUAGCCAAGAUGAGGUAGUACAUACACUGCUUGUUUCUAAGCUACUGAGGUCUCAGCACAUGGUUCUUGUGUUCUAAUGAGAAUCUGAAGAGCCAUCCUACCUGCUGUUUCCCCAUGCAUGGUAUACUGAGCCCUGCUCCUGCGGGCAUACUGUGCCCAGCUCCUGUGCGGGUCAGCUUAGCACACAGGCAGCAAAAUGCCAUGCCUGUGAAGACUCACAGGAUCACAGAGGGAUAACCCAUUCAGGGAUCAGGGAUUACUGAGGGAUAGCCCACUCUCCCUGCUUUAGCCUUCUGCCAUGCUCCAACUGUUAGUGACGUCAUUGCCCAGUCCCACAGUGCUCUGCGGUGCCCAGAGGAAGAAAGUGGAACAGCCCUCCCUACGAAGGACCAACCGUUUCCAGCAUUUCUUUAAUCGCAUGUCUUUGAAACUGGCCAGAUUUAAGUGACCAUCUACUCACACUUCAUAAAUUCCCUUGCACAUGGCAAGUCACUUCAGUCGCCCAUGUAGGCACUGAAAAUAAAAGGGAUCGCUGUGGAGAAGCUGUGGCAGUCAUCACACUCCUUUUAUCGAAAUCAUAUGCUAAUUAUCAUUUGUUUGUUUGUUUUGUUUUGUUUUUGUUUGUUUUUUUCGAGACAGGGUUUCUCUGUGUAGCCCUGGCUGACCUGGAACUCACUUUGUAGACCAGGCUGGCCUCGAACUCAGAAACCCACCUGCCUCCUAAUUAUCAUUUAUUAGGAAUGACAGGGCGGUGUGGUGUGUCUAUAACUAGCGGGUGUGUGUGCAGAGGGAUCUAGAAAAGUCUCUCGCUUUAAGAUGAUACAGUCUGCAAAGAGAGAAAACACAAAGACCUCACAAACAAACCAAUGAAUCAUGCCAGGCCGUGAUAAAGACUCUCCGAGGACACAGUUACCCAGCGAUGACGUCACAGAAAAGGCAAGAGGGCCUGACAGGGAUCUCAGAGGACAAACAGAGUCUCACCAGACCCGACGGAACCGUUCCAGGUGGAUGAAGGGUGUGAUCGGAGCGGCCUUAGUGGAGUCUGUGGAAACUGGGAAAUAGUGGGCCUUAAGCUGGGAAUGUGGAUUCAGGCCAGAAUGUGGAAGGAAACUAAGGCGCUUGGACUUCAUCCUAGUGGAAGAACUGCAAUCCAGUGACUAAGCAGCUAUGACAGAAUGUGUGUAUUUUGGGACGUGUUUCUACAUAUCAACAGCAAGGCAAGAGGAAUCCAGGGAAGUGCAUUCUUCUAGCAAAAGGAACCCACUAGAAGAUGCAUGACCAUCCUUUAGUGCGUUCCCAGUACUGAUGGCAUGUGGCCACUUGGAAUCCCACCAACCCAGAUGCCAACUGGCACCUUGCUUUAAAAGGUACCACACUGAUCAUCAGACUGUGGCUGUGGUACCUGAUGAAAUAGCUGUGGACUCACCCAGCUGCUGAAGGCUGUCCCGUGUGACUCACAGGUCACUAUUUGAGCUUUGCUAAGAAUCCAAGCGCCCACACAAGCCAGGAAGUUCCAACAACCCAGGCAGGAUCAGCUUGGCGGAGAGCACCUCCUCUUUCACCCUCUGUAGGGUUAUGGGGAAAGCUCUGGUGUUCAACGUGGACCACGACAAUCUGGUGAACGCCACAAAUCCUGCCGAGCCUGGGAUUGCAUGCCUUUUGAUUAAUACAGGUUGCUACAUUCCUAAGGACUAUAUAAGGAAACAUUGCAUGGGCCAGCAAGAGAUGGCUCAGAGAGGAAAGGCGUGCCCCCCAAACCAGUGCUCUGAGGUCCGUUCCAGGGAAGCACCUCGUGGAAAGAGAAGGCCCACCACACAAGCUGUCCUUCUACCUCCUCAUCUGUACCAUGGCUCGUGUCCUCUCUCACUGCCACAAAACAAAUAAAUGUGACAGUCAUAGAAGAAAGGGGACACCGUGCAAAGAAAUCUAAUUCUGGCCCAUUGGAAGCAACCUGACUUGAUAGUUUGAUCUUAGUUUUCCUUCAGGAAAAAAAAAAAUACAAAGGUCAAAAACUAAUCUUU
rnacentral:lncRNA from 1 species